GACGAACGCUGGCGGCGUGCUUAACACAUGCAAGUCGAACGGUGACGGAGAGCUUGCUCUCCUGAUCAGUGGCGAACGGGUGAGUAACACGUGGGCAACCUGCCCAGACUUCGGGAUAACGCUUCGAAAGAGGUGCUAAUACCGGAUACGAGCUCCUUGGGCAUCCUUGGAGUUGGAAAGUUUUUCGGUCUGGGAUGGGCCCGCGGCCUAUCAGCUAGUUGGUGAGGUAACGGCUCACCAAGGCGACGACGGGUAGCCGGCCUGAGAGGGCGACCGGCCACACUGGGACUGAGACACGGCCCAGACUCCUACGGGAGGCAGCAGUAGGAAUAUUGCGCAAUGGGCGAAAGCCUGACGCAGCAACGCCGCGUGAGGGAUGACGGCCU
rnacentral:rRNA from 1 species